rnacentral:rRNA from 1 species
CCAUCCCGCCUUUGGGCAGCAGCGAAUUCAUGCAGAACUGUUAGAACCGAGCGUACCGCUCGGGUUAACCAUCGAGAAGCGGCAGACGUGCAGCGGCGCGUAUACGCGCUCGAGUGUGACACUUUUAUUGGGCUUAAAGCGUUCGUAGCUUGAUUUUAAGUCUCUUGGGAAAUUUCACGGCUUAACUGUGAGGCGUCUAGAGAUACUGGGAAUCUAGGGACCCGGGAGAGGUAAGAGGUACUUCAGGGGUAGAAGUGAAAUUCUGUAAUCCUUGAGGGACCACCGAUGGCGAAGGCAUCUUACCAGAACGGCUUCGACAGUGAGGAACGAAAGCUGGGGGAGCGAACGGGAUUAGAUACCCCGGUAGUCCCGGGCCGUAAACUAUGCGCGUUAGGUGAAAACUGUAACUACGAGUUACCGGGGUGCAAAAAGGUUGGGCGUAAAACGUGCCGCCUGGGAAGUACGGUCGCAAGGCUGAAACUUAAAGGAAUUGGCGGGGGAGCACAAAAACGGGUGGAGCCUGCGGUUUAAUUGGACUCAACGCCGGGCAGCUCACCGGAUAGGACAGCGGAAUGAUAGCCGGGCUGAAGACCUUGCUUGACCAGCUGAGAGGAGGUGCAUGGCCGUCGUCAGUUCGUACUGUGAAGCAUCCUGUUUAGUCAGGCAACGAGCGAGAACGAAAUCUAGAUCAACGCGAGGAAUUGAGCUCGAAUCACCGCAGCGUC